UACAGUACGGUAGGCUCUAUGGUGGCA
rnacentral:sRNA from 1 species